rnacentral:rRNA from 2 species
AGAGUUUGAUCAUGGCUCAGAUUGAACGCUGGCGGCAGGCCUAACACAUGCAAGUCGAGCGGUAGCACAGAAGAGCUUGCUCUUUGGGUGACGAGCGGCGGACGGGUGAGUAAUGUCUGGGAAACUGCCUGAUGGAGGGGGAUAACUACUGGAAACGGUAGCUAAUACCGCAUAACCUCGCAAGAGCAAAGAGGGGGACCUUCGGGCCUCUCGCCAUCAGAUGUGCCCAGAUGGGAUUAGCUAGUAGGUGAGGUAAUGGCUCACCUAGGCGACGAUCCCUAGCUGGUCUGAGAGGAUGACCAGCCACACUGGAACUGAGACACGGUCCAGACUCCUACGGGAGGCAGCAGUGGGGAAUAUUGCACAAUGGGCGCAAGCCUGAUGCAGCCAUGCCGCGUGUGUGAAGAAGGCCUUCGGGUUGUAAAGCACUUUCAGCGAGGAGGAAGGCGGUAAGGUUAAUAACCUUAUCGAUUGACGUUACUCGCAGAAGAAGCACCGGCUAACUCCGUGCCAGCAGCCGCGGUAAUACGGAGGGUGCAAGCGUUAAUCGGAAUGACUGGGCGUAAAGCGCACGCAGGCGGUCUGUUAAGUUGGAUGUGAAAUCCCCGGGCUUAACCUGGGAACUGCAUUCAAAACUGACAGGCUAGAGUCUUGUAGAGGGGGGUAGAAUUCCAGGUGUAGCGGUGAAAUGCGUAGAGAUCUGGAGGAAUACCGGUGGCGAAGGCGGCCCCCUGGACAAAGACUGACGCUCAGGUGCGAAAGCGUGGGGAGCAAACAGGAUUAGAUACCCUGGUAGUCCACGCUGUAAACGAUGUCGAUUUGGAGGUUGUGCCCUUGAGGCGUGGCUUCCGGAGCUAACGCGUUAAAUCGACCGCCUGGGGAGUACGGCCGCAAGGUUAAAACUCAAAUGAAUUGACGGGGGCCCGCACAAGCGGUGGAGCAUGUGGUUUAAUUCGAUGCAACGCGAAGAACCUUACCUACUCUUGACAUCCAGAGAAUUAGCUAGAGAUAGCUGAGUGCCUUCGGGAACUCUGAGACAGGUGCUGCAUGGCUGUCGUCAGCUCGUGUUGUGAAAUGUUGGGUUAAGUCCCGCAACGAGCGCAACCCUUAUCCUUUGUUGCCAGCGAUUCGGUCGGGAACUCAAAGGAGACUGCCGGUGAUAAACCGGAGGAAGGUGGGGAUGACGUCAAGUCAUCAUGGCCCUUACGAGUAGGGCUACACACGUGCUACAAUGGCGUAUACAAAGAGAAGCGACCUCGCGAGAGCAAGCGGACCUCAUAAAGUACGUCGUAGUCCGGAUUGGAGUCUGCAACUCGACUCCAUGAAGUCGGAAUCGCUAGUAAUCGUAGAUCAGAAUGCUACGGUGAAUACGUUCCCGGGCCUUGUACACACCGCCCGUCACACCAUGGGAGUGGGUUGCAAAAGAAGUAGGUAGCUUAACCUUCGGGAGGGCGCUUACCACUUUGUGAUUCAUGACUGGGGUGAAGUCGUAACAAGGUAACCGUAGGGGAACCUGCGGUUGGAUCACCU